GGCGCUUCCCGCACCCCAAGUGCCCUGCGCGCCUGGGGCCCUCCCACAGGGGCCCGUCGUGAGCCAGGCAGCAGGGGCCGUGCCCCUGCUCCUGCACGGACAGGCCCCACAGGCAGAAGGAAUCUCGCAACCUGACCCGGCGCUCGGGGCCCUCGGGGCUUUCGGGUUCGCCGCCCUGGCUCCUUCGGGGGUGGCGCUCCCCCAGCCUCAGAGCCUUCCGGGGCCUCCGCACCCGGGCAGAUGCCACGAGGAGCGGGAGCCGCAGCACGCCGGCCUGCCGGGGACGUGCUCCGUGGGACAGCUUGGGCCCGCUCAAGCCGACUCACAGGGGCGAGGUGUGCAGGGUCCCUGGUGGGGCUGGGGCCAGGGGCCCCAGGUGGCCGGGGCGGCAGGGGAACCCCAAGCCGCGCCACCUCCACCUCCGCAGCCCGCACCCCCGGAGGCCUCCGCCUGGCAGGGGCAGAUGCCAGCCCUGCAGGCGCCUUCCCAAGCGCUCCAGGAGCCGGAGGAGCGCUCGUCUGCGCUCACCUCCAGCCUGCUGGACGAGCUCCUGUCGACCCCAGAGUUUCAGCAGCAGGCACGACCUUUCCUAGAGACGGAGCCACUGGGGGAGCUGAAGGAGGUGGAAGAGCUCGCUUCCCUGGAGCCACCCCUCAGCGAGGAAGAAUACCGGGCUCUGCUGGAGGAGCUUUAAAAGCGGCGUGUCUUGGCGUCUCGCCCUCCCGCUGACCUGUCUGGGAUCCCUGAGUGCCAGGUCCGUCCGUCCGGUGAGAGACUACACACAGGGCAGGGCUGUGCCGUCCUUCUAUCCCGGGCAUCUUGGGGACCCCAGAGCCCGCCCAGGGCCCGGGAGCUGGGCGGUCUAGUGCGCCGGCGCGGGUCUGCAGGCAGCCCGCGGCGCUGCGCUUCGGGGGACCAGCGCAGGCAGAGCUGUCGUCCCUCCUCGCAGCCCUGCCCCCACGCCACCCCGCGUACUUCAGGAGGGUGGGCAGAGGGGGCGCUUUGCCCGGGAAACACCGGGCCGGGUCCGAAGGCGGGGCCGCUCUCCAAUCCGCGACACGCCUCUUCUUGCCUCCCCGCUCCGCCCACCCAUCACUGGCACACCGGUAACCCGCCAGCCUCCCCCUCCCACCGUCACGGAGCAG
rnacentral:lncRNA from 13 species